ACAAGCAGUGGAGUAUGUGGUUUAAUUCGACGCAACGCGAAGAACCUUACCAGGGCUUGACAUCCUCUGGCGACGCAAGAGAUUGCGUUUCCCUUCGGGACAGAGAGACAGGUGGUGCAUGGUUGUCGUCAGCUCGUGUCGUGAGAUGUUGGGUUAAGUCCCGCAACGAGCGCAACCCCUAUUGCCAGUUGCCAGCAUGAAAGAUGGGCACUCUGGCGAGACUGCCGUUGACAAAACGGAGGAAGGUGGGGACGACGUCAAAUCAUCAUGCCCCUUAUGUCCUGGGCUACACACGUACUACAAUGGCAGCAACAGAGGGCGGCGAGGCCGCGAGGCCAAGCGAAUCCCAAAAUGCUGUCUCAGUUCAGAUUGCAGGCUGAAACUCGCCUGCAUGAAGUCGGAAUUGCUAGUAAUGGCAGGUCAGCAUACUGCCGUGAAUACGUUCCCGGGCCUU
rnacentral:rRNA from 1 species